rnacentral:rRNA from 1 species
UACAGAGGUCUCAAGCGUUGUUCGGAUUCAUUGGGCGUAAAGGGCGCGUAGGCGGUUCGUUAAGUCCUGUGUGAAAUCCCCCGGCUCAACUGGGGAACUGCACAGGAAACUAGCGGGCUUGAGUUCGGGAGAGGGAAGCGGAAUUCCGGGUGUAGCGGUGAAAUGCGUAGAUAUCCGGAGGAACACCGGUGGCGAAGGCAGGUCUCUGGGCCACUACUGACGCUGAGAAGCGAAAGCAUGGGGAGCGAACAGG